AUGAACGGAAUCAAAUCCAAAGGCGAAACAGUUCGGUAUACAAAUGAAAAUGUUCUUGAAUCAUGUAAAACUUCAAAUUUAUUCAAGAAUGUAUUAAAUUAUCCAGAAAGUAUAAGCUUGGAGUUAUCAUUAAAAAGUGCCUUGCACCAGAUAUUUUCAAUAAUUAGCUAUCGAGACCAUCCUCAGUUGUUCGGGCUGGAAUACACAAGCGGUCAGCUAAGAAAUUACUCGUCUCCCGACAGGGAUAUAUCAUUGGCUGGUUAGCUACACGGGGUUAGAGGCAGUGGAAAUGGAGAUGUUUGUGUAAAAACGACCCCAACGAAGAGACGGUUAUCGUUGGGGUCCAUUGUAUAACGUUGUUGACGAAGAAG